CCUACGGGAGGCAGCAGUGAGGAAUAUUGGUCAAUGGACGAAAGUCUGAACCAGCCAAGCAGCGUGAAGGAUGACUGCCCUGUGGGUUGCAAACUUCUUUUAUAUGGGAAUAAAAUGUUCCACGUGUGGGAUUUUGUAUGUACCAUAUGAAUAAGGAUCGGCUAACUCCGUGCCAGCAGCCGCGGUAAUACGGAGGAUGCGAGCGUUAUCCGGAUUUAUUGGGUUUAAAGGGAGCGUAGAUGGGGUGUUAAGUCAGUUGUGAAAGUGUGCGGCUCAACCGUAAAGGUGCAAUUGAUACUGGCAGCCUUGAGUACAGUUGAGGUAUGCGGAAUUCGUGGUGUAGCGGUGAAAUGCUUAGAUAUCACGAAGAACUCCGAUUGCGAAGGCAGCCUACUAAGCUGCCACUGACGUUGAUGCUCGAAAGUGUGGGUAUCAAACAGGAUUAGAUACCCCAGUAGUC
rnacentral:rRNA from 1 species